UCGAUUAGCCACCCCUCCACCGCCUUGGAUCGAUUUGACGCUGUGACAACUAUGCUUCUAUUUGUUUUAAAUUUUGACCUUUCACAACCCUUCGCCCCUACUGUGAGCAGCACUGUGGACGUCCUCAUCAUUGAAGAUUAGCCUCAGCCGACUACUACAUGGCAGUUCGGUACUACAAUAGUGCUUAAGGUGCACCAAUUGACAACACUACUACCACUGCCAUCCUCUAUUACAAGUUUGCCUCCUGUCUUACAAAGAUCCGUUGAUUUUUUCCCUCUCAUGAUCCUCAUCCUAAAGUUUGACCUCUUGUUAAUGUAGACUAGGAUAUGGGUUUAACCAAGUCUCAGCUUUAGGAUCUUUUAAUCUAAGAACAACCAUAACCACCCCAACAACAUAAUAGAAAAUCAGAAUAAUAUAAGAUAGUCCAGCAAGCUAUCGACUUCAAUAUGGCAGUACUAAUCAGGCCAAAUCAACAACAACCUUUAGAACUAAACCAGGGACUGAAAGUAGUUCAAUUGGAUUAAAAAAAAAACUGUAAUCCAUGAACCAAAGUCUAACACAACAAGAUUCAAACCAGUCCAAUCGAUGUCAGUUUCAGAAGUUUUGUAAUUGAAUGGUAACCAGAAAACAGGGACUUUAAAGCACCAAUAUUUGAGACUAAGCCAUGAAGCAUAAAACCAGCAACCAAUCAGCUAUAUCCAGAACAGAUCGAUUCACAAAUCUGGGCAGAAAUUAGGGUUGGCCAGAGUAGGGAGAAAUCCCAUAACUGCUGAUUCCCUGGUCUGAUGAACCUCAAAUUAAGAUCAAGUUCCUCUCUAUAUAAUCUUAACACUUGAUCAAAAAAAGAGAGCCAUCGGAUGGCUGGAUCAUCAGAACAGUAUGGGGGCAGUAAGAGAGAAACUUGAAAUUUCCAGAGCCAGAAAUCAAAAGCAGUUCAGAUCCCUUACUUGGUUUGAAGAACCUUGCAAUUAACUUUGAAAAGAAAGAAAGAAUAGUUGAAGAGACCUCUUGGACUUCAUGCCGUAAAGAGUCAAUUGGAUCAAACACCAAUUCCUUUAGCCUUGAUCAAACACAAGACCACCACUUUGAUCAAACACAAAGUAAUCUUAGCAGAGACAUUGCAGCAACAACUGUUCUUUUGUUUGUAUAAAUCGUGGGCUACUAAUGAGCCUACUCCUUUAUUUAUAAUAAUGAUGGGGGGUGCUUACAAUUUAGUAACUUCAAAGUUACUGAAAAACUGAAAUAAAGAUUACUAAAAUCUAGUUACUAAAUCGGGAAAAGUAAACUAGGAAAUAAAACAACUGGAAUUAGAAACUAACUUAUGACUGAAAAUUAGAAACUAACUAGGUAUUGAAAUUAGAAACUAAUUAAUCCCAUCAAAAUCCAACUAAAAAGGAAACCAAUGAAAAAAGGGAACUAACUAGUAAUCCCGCACUCAAUCUUAGAGCCCUCGUUUAGACUCAUAAAAGUGGUCUAUUACACUCAAAACACAUGGGAUCAAAUGCCUAACAUUUAUGGAACCUAACCCUAGGUUUAUUCGUAAUAAAAUAAGCCUAGUUUGGUUAUUAAUCUGCAUCACUUGUUGUAGAUUUGGGUUUCAAAACUAGAAUCGGAUCGCUUAUGGGCCCACAAAAUAAUAGAUAAUUCAAGUUGAGAUUUAAAUGCAAAUCUGUAAAUAUGUGAAAGUCUAGAAGGGAAUGGCAAACUUGCAAAUAAUUGGAAGUUUCUAAUAAGGAGUUGCAGGUUUGCAAAUAAACAGAAUAUGUAAGGGUCUAAUAUCUUAAUAUGGGAGGACACGAAGGUGAUCAGUAUUUAUUUUGUAGGGGUAAACUAGGAAGCAAAGUUAAAGUUUAGGCUAUAGGUUAAUAAUAGGGUAAAGGAAGGGUAUUUUAGAAACAAAAGGGACAAAGCUAAAAGACUAAAGAAUUGUGGGAAGGGGUUAGUCUUCUUCAACCUUUGAAGUUGUUUGCAGGCAUUGGAACCAGCGGAAUCUAGAGGAAGAACACUUUCGAUUUCUGAUGGCUGGGUUUGAGGUUUUAAGCGAAGGUCCAAAGUCCUGUAUGCAUGCUCUAAUGGUUCGGAUAAUCAGCAACCAUGGGAGAUAUAACCCUUUGUGCAAUCAGACCUGGGUGGUAGCUUUAGAUAACCUGAGUUGUAAGUCUCAUUUCUCACAACAGGGAUGGUCUUAUGGCAAGAAGCUCUAAGGGUUUGGUCAUCCAAGGAAGGGCUACCUUCGACACAAAUUUCAAGGAGAAAGGGGUACUGUUGAGGGAGAUUGACUUCAGGGUUUAGAGAUAUUAGAACCGUGCAAAACUGGAUUUUAAAAUCACAAACAAGAAGAAAGAAGAUGAAAGAACAGAGAAAGAAAAAAUAAAUCAGAGAUGGAGAGGGAGAAAGGCACGCAAGGCACUCAUGGUUCAAGCCAAACUUCAAUCAAUAUCACUUCUUCCAAUUCUAGUCCCAUCAUUGGGAACAAGACUCUUUUCAGACUUGGAAAUAACCUACUUUCCUAUUUCUAAAACUGAAACAAAUAUGGAAUCCAAAUCACAUAUAACUUGACUCUCAUGCUAU